AAUGAAAACCAUUUCUUUUGUUGUCGAUGCCGUGAUACGAAAUGGUAGAUAAUAAAUUAGAACUUAUCGCUAAUUAAUUUGGCGAAAAUCCCAAGGUCUUAAUAUUAUAUAAAAAAAGACAGAAAAUGUCCAAGCAUACAUAUAUUUUUACUUGAAAAAAAAUUUUAUUUUGCCUAUGUAGGAGUAAUGAAAAUAUUUACUGAUCGCAUGGCAAAUUUUAUCACAAUAUUGUUGUGUUUUUAUAAUUAAUUACCAAAAUACAUAUUUACGUUCGUAAUAUACAUAUGUAUGUAUGUAUGUAUAUGAAAGGUGUUGUUGUCACAUUCGUAAUUUUUUUACUCGGUUUGUUAAGACAUAAGUGAGUAAAAUUUUUAAGAAUUUACCCGUCGAAUAUUUUUUCUUCGUAGAGCUAUUUUUCAUGAGCUUAAAAUUAAUUUGUGAACUAUGGAUAUCGUUCGCAACUAUGUUAUUGCUUGGCAAACGAUAUCAUGACAUUGGUAAUUCCGCGUAAUUUACUACCCAUUCCUACUAUACCUGUGUAUGUGAUCAUAGGCUGACAUAAUUUCUAUUUCAGUUAGUUGGGUGAUUGAAAUCAUUACGGGUUCAUGACGAAAAUAUUAAAUACAAAUUCUGCAACUAAUAAAAGAGACGAUAAAGACUUAUUAUCUCGGAUCAAUAUGCGCUCCUUAGCAAGCGAAACGCAAGAAGUGAAGCGUUCUUACAUAUUCUUAGGAAGAGAAUUGUGUCCUUUACUUACGUUCACGCUGUUGUCCCUUUCGUAGGCAAUAUGAAUAACCAGCAACAAGAGAUAGCACAUCAAACCGAAAUUGAUAAGCCAAAACACGAAACCCUUGAAGGAGA